UACAGAGGUCUCAAGCGUUGUUCGGAUUCAUUGGGCGUAAAGGGUGCGUAGGCGGCGCGGUAAGUCGGGUGUGAAAUCUCGGGGCUUAACUCCGAAACUGCAUUCGAUACUGCCGUGCUUGAGGACUGGAGAGGAGACUGGAAUUUACGGUGUAGCGGUGAAAUGCGUAGAUAUCGUAAGGAAGACCAGUGGCGAAGGCGGGUCUCUGGACAGUUCCUGACGGCUGGAGGCACGAAGGCCCAGGGGGAGCAAAACGGG
rnacentral:rRNA from 1 species